rnacentral:lncRNA from 1 species
CAUUCUGAGUCCUAAGCGAUUCCAGCCAAAGGUCAAAACUGAGAUGGCGAAAUUGAGGCAUAGAAGUCAAGAAAUUUGCUCAAGGUCGUGAAAGUAAUAAAUGGCGGAGCCAGUAUGUGAACACAGGCCAUGUCCAUUAUCAAUGUUCAGCUCAUUGUGGUGUGGAUCCUGUGAAAUCAUGAAGUGCAAGAGAAGUAUUUGAGGCACAGCAAACUUGUGGACUUGUUAGUCUGUAAUCCUUAUGUUCAGAAUCUGUAAAACUUCAGCACAAGUGACCUUUACCACACACGUAAAGAGGGAUGGAAGUUGACAUUAAGGGGGGCUAUCUGGUAUUCCCCAAUAAUAUGAAGUUGUCCUGCUUUUUAUUUAGCUCAAUGCUUCACCUGUUUUGGGUUCAUCCAUGAGUAUCUUUCAUAUCUAAGCAGGACAAUUUUUUACAUGGAUGUGAUGAUCUCUCCUGCAUUUUCCUAGAUGACAUGUCAUUUGAUAAAUUGGCUUAUUGAGCACAGAUAGCAGACUCGUGCAAACACCAACAGCGAGCCAAGAGAGUCAUCUGAAUGUUACAAUCCUCACCUGUGUCCAGAUGUGAAUUUGUUCCUUUUCUAAAUCCUCAAUAGAGUUUUCUUGGUUGCAGAGAUAUUUUUACUCACCCUGAUCACAGUGUUUGCCUCAAAUCUCAUAAAGCCGGACAUGUUACUGGUGCUCUGAAAGUCUUCUGCUUUGUGAACAAGGUUUAAUGAAUUGGGAGUAUCCGUGCACAUUGCUUUCACUCAAAAAGAGAAAAUCCUUUUAAACAGCUAUAGCUACAGAAAUUCAAUUUCGUUUAUUUAGGAGGAAAUGAGAAACUUGAAUUGUAGGUGUGGAGUCUUGCAAUCUUUUAGACUGAUAAAAGUAUGUUUGGGGGGAUGGUUGGAACAGCACCGAAUUGCUUCAGCCAAAAUUAUUUUUGUGAGUACAUUUCCAAACUCACGAUCAUGUUUUGAUAAGAAAAACCCCUUUCUCCACAAAUUCUCAGGUCCCACUCAUUGGCCCCUCACCUCCAGUUCUAAAACCUAUGUCAGACUGUUACAUGGCUCAGUUCUUGGUGAUAUGUUUUCAAUUUGAGUCAACUUGAUGAGAGAAAAAUUACUAAAAAGUGGGAAUGAGCUGUGAGGUGAAUAGGGCUUUCCUAUCAAAGUG